GCUACAGGGCGGCCAUGGAAGCCACGGCCAAUGGGCUGUGAGCUCAGGCCCCGGCGGUUCCUUGAAGACCAGGCGCCGGGCACUCGCCCGUCGCACGCCUUCCCGGGGUUACACCGCUCUAGAUGGCCCCGCCCCACCCAUCGUCUCGGCCAAUGGGAGCGCGCUCCGAGGGAGUGGGCGGAGCUCCAGGGUGCGGGCUGCACCUGGAGCGCGCCGCACGUGAGUCCGCCCGCCCGGCCUCCCUGCUCACCCCCGUGCGGGUCCGCGCCGCUUUUCGACACAGCGCGAGCCCAGGAAGUCUGUCCGUCCUUGGUGGCAACCUGGAGAGACAAGGUGAGCUCACCCCGGAGGGACGGCAGGUGGGAAAGGGGACCGAGAACAGAACCCGAAGGAGAGGGGCGUGGCGAGCGGCCUGGCUUAGCAGUCCACGUGUUCCUCUUGAAGCAGAACCAAGGCAGUCCGGGGCAGCUGGCCCCUCCUGCAGCCCCCAGCUCAGGGUUCCGUGCUCAGCUCCAGCCCUGUGGAACGGGAACUUGCCUGCCUUCUUCCCAUGUCAGCCUAAAGCUCCAGGAGAAUGGAGCCAGGACUUUUCACCUAGACCACGUCCGCAUACAAGGAACCGGGCAGAGCCCACCAGAAGCACCCGGGUGCUUGCCGCAGUAAAUCCAACCUGAGGCUGGGCUGAAACAGAACUGACUCCCGUGUCCAUGGAAGCCCUUCCCUCCCCGUGGGGGCUCCGGCUGCUCGUGGGAACUCGCUGCCCCUUGGCCCCCUCUCAGCAAACAAGGACUUGCGGAGGCGAUUUGAUUCCCCCAAACAUGAGGACCUCACGGGAUGACGUGACGGGCCUGGGAAGGAAGACUUAAGGGCAAACUCCAAGUAUCAUCGACGCUGAGCAUCGAAGGAGUUUUGCCUCAUUGUCCCUGCAUGUACCUGUCUGCGUCUGAGGCAGUCCUGAGAGUGGAAGCACCCCGUU